AUUGGGACCCCCACCACCACAGGCCACGCCAACCAUGCGCAUUAGCUGUAACCACACACCUCCAGAACCCAAUCGACCCAAAGCUUUAAAUAUCUCUACCUGGUGGUGGCGCUAGAAGAGGUCAAGUGGUCACCAAAUCAAUAGGUUUCUUCCACGUGGGGACUUGAUUGUGCACGGAAACGGUGACGUCUGUGCAUGAAACCCCCACACGACUGGAUCACACUAGUGCGCCUUCCACCCAGGGAUAAAGUGCGUGAGGCUCUCAAAUCAGCAGGUGCAAGGAGUGAGGGGGCCACAGGUGUCGAGGGUCCGUCCAUGUCUGCAUCCCUGCGCAGGGAUGAAGUUCGUGAGGCUCCGGUUCCCAAGCGUUGCAGACCCACGGGUGCCAGGAGUGAGGGGGAAUGUUUGGCCACAGGUGUCGAGGGUCCAUUCACGUCUGCGUCCACGUCUACAAUUCGCGUGUUGACCGCCUCGGUCCUGCAAACCCAGAACGAGUUGAAUACAUUGGUAUGGGCAGAUUGUGGACUGAACUUGGAAGAAUACGCAGGGGUUUUGUUUAAUUUACAUAAUGCAAUUGUUGAACGUUUUCCACAACGUGAAUAAAAACAACUAUGCUUUA